UUUUUAUCUGUAUUCUGUCCAUACCCUGGUGUUUUGAUCCCCUUUUUCUUAAAUGUAUUCCUUAGCGAAUCAACUGAGUUCAAACAUCUGCUUCCCAAGCCGAAGCCAUGAAAUAUGGGCCUCCUAUUGCCAAUUGAUUUUGGGUUGAAUGCCCUAAUUUGAAAACUUAAUAAUAACUUGUGAAGCCAUAUAUAACUCUAGUUGCAAGAUUCCCCAGCUUACAACUUACCCAGUUUCGUGUCUGAAUUUUUCAUUGCACAUUAUGUUUAGACAUACGUAUCGAUUCCGUAUUUCUAUAUAUGUGUCUGAAUUCCUCCCCAUGUUUUGAAAUAAAUCUACUGAGUUAUACACUUUUGUAUUAUAUAUUUCUUCUGAUUAUUGUACAUAGUUUUAAGACUGUUUUGUAAUCCUUCAGAUAAAUAUUUUUCAAUGCGCUUCUUUGUAUUAUAUUAUUUUCAAAAGUGCACAUUUGAUUAGGUCGGACCUCUUGCACCACGCUCCUGUUAAGGCAGUGUAGAAUGCAUUUAAUUGGGUUGGAAGUGGGAUCUUGAUCAUUAUGUUGAUUUAACAACCUGUUAUGGAAAAAAAAUUGGUGCAUAGGCUGUCUUUGUAUCAUCAUUUUCACUUCUUCCUUUUUUCAUCUACCCUUGUUUAGAAAUGAUGUUAAAUGUUCUUAAGAUGACUAUCAUACUGUUUAUAGGGAAGAUACUUUAAUUGCCUCCAUAUGGUUCAAAUUGAAUUACAAUUCUGUUUUUAUAUUUUUUAUUUCAAUCAGUUGUUGAACAAGAAGCAAAUGAGUUAAAAAGCAAGUUUUCCAGUCCAAGGCGUUCAAUGCUGGAGGAAAUGCUUUUCUAGAUGAUAGUGGCCACCUUGAUGACAUAGAUGUUAUUCCAAAUGAAGAAAUGCUUUUGGCAUUCAGUGAAAAGGGGUAUGUUCAGCGGAUGAAACCCAACACUUUCAAUCUACAAAAUCGAGGAACCAUUGGCAAA